AACUGGUGAAACCCUGGGCCACCAAAGCGGAGCAUAUGAACUUAACCACUCGGCCACGGGGCUGGCCCCUGUAAUUCAUAUUUCUACCAAAAAAGAGGCUUAUAUAUUAUGUCUGUAUACUAUUUUGUACAUUUUUUCACUUUAUAACAAAUUAACAUUUGGAUUUUGGAUUACUAUUUUUAAUGGCUAAAUAAUAUUUUAUUUAUUUGUCUUAGUAUUUCCUCAGAUAAAUCCGUCUGAGUUAAAUUGCUGGUUUAAAGAACAUAUUUAAAACGUUGACAUGCAUUUAUUACCAAACGGCCUUCUGAAUGGGUUUUUAUGUUCCUGCCAGCAGUAUGCAGGAGUGCUUAUGUUUGCAGACUCUCAUCAACACUGAUGUUAGUUUCCUUUAGUCUUUGCCAAUUUUAUAAGCCAAAAUGAUAUCUUAUUCUUUUCCGUGUGAUUUAAUUGAAUUUUCCCCUAUAUUAUUGGUCAUCUUUAUUUUUCUUGAGUUAUCUGUUUAUACCUUUGCUUAUGUUUUAUUUGUGUUUUUACCUCUUUCAUGUUAGUUUAGCAAAGCUUUUUAUAGAUUAGAGAUACAACUCUGUCUGCCUUUGGGUUAUGAUUAUUUUUCCACUUGGUAAUUUAUCUUUUCAUUUGCAUUCGUGUGUUUUGGCAUACUGAAAUUUUAAAGAUUUGGGUAGUAAAUCUGUCAUCAUUUUUUCCUUUAUGUUUUUUCUUUAGGGUCAUGCUUAAAAAUGAAAGGCAUUUAUUUUUGCCGCUUUUCUUGAACUUGGACGACAGAAACAGCCCACAAACUGAUGGUUAAAUCUUUUGUUACUGAGAUACCCCAUGGGCUGUCAAAUCCUCUGUCUCAGUUCUCUUCUUAUUCAGAAUCUACAAUAAGUAGUCAUUUUUUAAAGAGAAGAAAUGACUAUCUAGGACAGUCUGUGAGUUUCCACCUUCAAUCUGGAUGUUUAACAUUGGGUUAUUUUCUUUCUCUGUCUGUAGUUUGACUCUUAUUCACAUUAGUGGCGUCCCUAGUACAGUGUUGAUUUUGUCUUCCUAAUAUCCAAUCUUCUUGUUUAUUUUUCAGUGUUUCUAGAUAGCAUGCUAUUUCACAUUUGACUUAUUAAUAAUUAUGUGUAACUCUCUGAGCAUAUCUGGGAUGAUCUCUCCUUCCUAUUGUAUUUUAAAAGUGAGUCAACAGAGGGGACUGCAUGUGCAAAGAUGCAUAGAUGAGAAAGAACAUUGUAUGUGGGGAAACUGGAAAUUAGGAUGUGGUUUCUGCAGAGGGCACAAAAGAUGUAGACUGAGGACUGAGGCUGAAGGAGGAAGUAAGGUUCAAGCCAUUUAUGGUCUCGUAAACCUAAUAGGGAGGUUGAACCUCAUUAGAAAAGCAAUGGGACGAAGAAAGUUUUUUCCCAAGGGAAGAGACACAAAUCAAGAUUUAUCUUUUGUGGCUACGGUGUGCAAAACUGAAUGGAGCUUAAUGGAGAGUACUAUGGUCUAGAGGGCACAGAUUAUAUAGAGAUUAUAUAUAUGUGUGUACAUACACACACGGGUCGGGGGAGAUAGGAAUGGAAUUGAUAGAGAAGGAGAUAUGACUAUGAAAAUGUAGAAACAGUAGUAUCACUUGAAUUAGUUCUAAAAGCAGGUUGUGUCAUUAGUGCUGUGGAGUGGAUUCCAACUCCAAGCAACCCUGUAUCCAGCAGAGCAACCCCUGCACGGUCUUUCUGCACCAUCCUCUCACUUUCCAGUGCUGUAUCAGACACUGCUGCUAUUCAUAGGGUUUUCAUGGUCAAUUUAUUUGGAAGUGGAUGGCCAGGUCCUUUUUCCUAGUCUGUCUUAGUCUGGAAGCUCUGCUGAAACCUGUCCACCAUGGGUGACCCUGCUGGUAUUUGAAAUCCUGGCAGCAUAGUUUUCAUCAUUGCAGCAACACGCAGCCACCACAGUGUGACAACUGACAGACAAGUGAUAUGGUUCCCUAAUAGGGAAAGGAGCCCAGGCUGCUUUAGUAAGAGUGCCAAAUCUUAACCGCUAGUCCACCGGGGCACGUAUAACUCAUUUAAUUCAAAUCACUGAAAUAAAGAAGAGUAAACAGACAAUGAGCAGGAGAACAGACUUAGUAGGAGUCAGCUGGGACUAGCUGGAGGGUUGUCACCCUGAAAAGGUUUAAAAGGUGGAAGAAUUGGAAUAUGGUACUAUCCUCAAGGAAGGAGAUAGUAUAUAUGCGUGGGAAUGCUGGAAGUCUGCAGACAGUCUGGAAGAUCUCCAAGUUGGCUCCUGGCCCUGAGAUUGUUAGGGGGAGAAACACAAGCAGCCUUGCUAGACCGAGAGAAGCAGUAUCCUCAUUGGAGAGCCUGGAUAAAAAGGGUGUGUUCACUAAGAAUAAUGGUGUCGAGGCUGAACUUUAAGCUACAUGUUCAACGUGAUACACAAGAGGAAAACAAGAAGGCCUCUGCUAAACUUAACAACACACACACACACAAAAUUUGAGUGGUUAUUGCUUCAUUUCCUCUACUUGCCCCCAGUCGCCUCUGAUCUAAGCUGCUUCCAACCUGAGUUUCUGAGACAUUUCACAAAGGACUCAUAGUCGUAAAUAAAUAAUCUAGUAUGCAAUAAGCCUGAGAUUUUUUUCCAGGUUAUUACAUGUAUUACUUACCUAUUGCUGUGUAGCAAAUUACCACAAACUUAUUGGCUUAACACAAUACUCAUGUUGUUAUAGUUGUGAACUGUAUCCAUGCACUCAAAUUUAACAACUGCCCUUUUUGUAACUGAGAAAGAUUUAGUAUAAAAUCCCAGAAUUCUUAUUAGACUAUUAAUCUUUUUGACUUACCCUAAAAAAUGCUUCCAUGUUUUGUUUGUUUACUUUGAGUUUUGAAUUCAGCUGUAGAAAAUUGGCUGUAACUGUGGAACUGUAAUGGAAUAAUGUUUAAAAAUAAAACUGCGAAAAUUUUUGUUUUCUUGUGUUUUCACCUAAUUGUGUGACACUAACACCUUUCAUAGGAAGAUGGCGUAUCUUGAGUAUAUCUGGAAAAACAAAACUGAGCUAUCUCAGCAAUCGUGGUUUUCUUCAGUGUAGUUGAUACCUAUUACUGGUAAAAAGCUAGUAGCAAGAAAGCUUAUAAUUGGAUAAUGCCUAAUAGUUUUUCUUUACUCAGUUAAUUAGUGUAAAUUUCUCUCUGGUUUUCAUUAGGAAGGAUUUCAUGAAUAUAAUUACUGGGAAAGCUGGGAUAUUUUUUAAUUUUUAAAUUUGGCAUCCCAGUAAAGUCUUGCUUUAAAGAAUACUUUAGUGAUUGGAUUAGAAAUGAAUUAAUUUUAUUUGAUGUAUUUCAAAAUGAUAAGAUCAGAAUUGAUUUAAAACAUCUAUUUUAUAUUACUCUAAGGGCCAUUUUAAAUUCCUUUUUACCUAAAUAUCUGUAGCCAUUAUUGACUUUUGCAAAUCAUUUCCCACGUCUUUGCAAUGGGGGCACCACAUACUGAGCUAGACACCAGCCUGUGGGCCUUUCCUACUUGGUUCUUUGUUGCUUAUGGCUGAAAAGCCUGUUAAAAACAUAGUCCCUUCCAUAUAAAAGGAGGCUAAUAAAUGAUUUUUGAGAUGGAUCUAUAAAAGGUGUAGCUGAGAAUUCGUCCUUUCUACAAAGUCCCCCAGAUAAUUAUAUUUCAUCAUUUCUCUUGAAGAUUUAUCCAUUCUGCUUUUGGAAUUCUUUUCCCAUGAUCUGCAAAUCCAUUGUUAAAUUCCCAGUCUCAUUUUAGAACAUUUCUACCAUGGCUUCCAUUUCUCAUGAGGCCUUCCCGAGGUGAGGCUGCUUUAAUCUCACACAUGCCUGCCUCAGGUUUGGGUAGGGAGGUCAUGUUGGGCUUUCUCGGUUGUACCAACCAGACUAGCACUCCCAUCCCUCUUGUAAAAACUCCUGAGCUUCAUGCCAUUUCUCUCUACGAGGCUCUCCUUCAUACUACUGUUAUCUAUUAACCUUCUUGUACCUCACUAAACCCAUAUCCCCCACUCAUUGAAGAUUUAUCACCUCUCCCAUUCUCUGCUCCAACUUCUGUCAGUUUUCUUGGGAGUUCUUCAUUUACACUAAUAAUCCACUCAGUAUCCUCAGUCUUAGUUCCUUGAUCUACUCAUCUCCAAUGAGCUUUUCUUUGCUCUACCUAAACAUCCGCUCUCAGGGGAUCAGAGUCAGACUAGAAUUUGUCAUCAGCAGAAACUUUUCUGCCUCCAAAAUUACCAACUCAAACAUUCUCGUCUCUGACAACAGCUCUUAUUAACUUUCACAAAAGUUCCGUUAACUUUCUCACUCCAUUAACUUUCACAAAAACAGUUAUUUCAACCUCCCUGAGACUCAUUCAUCGACUUAUCACUUUCUCGCUCUUCCCCAGCCUUUUGUGUCUUUACUUGUGUCUUUAUCCUCCCCAAGUUCUAUAGUGCAUCAUUUGUUCACUUUCCUUCAGCUGCUCUUUCCCACUCUCUUUUUAUUACACUUUCUAAGCAGAUUCAUACCUUCAAAUGACCUUGGUAAUCUAUCCUUUCUGUUUUUGUUCUCAUGAAGCUUUAAGGUUAUUUUUUGCCUGGGCGGGGGUUGUUUUUUUUGUAGUAAACAACAUUUGGGUAAACAGAGGACACUAUAAGGUCACAAUCAGCAGAUGGCUCUCCAUCUUACCAGGAUGUUACCAGGAUUUGCAAAGUAAGCAUGAGUUCUCAACUUUCUGUAGGUACCAUUUUAUACCUUGUCGUUGGUUCUCAGGCCUGACACUCCUCUACCUCCUUCUUUUUGCCUAAUGACUUCACUGAGAUUUAAGAAGACGACACAGAGCACGUCCUCCUUCUUCCCGCCUGUUUGUUGGGAAACAUCUCUCUCCCUCUCCCAGAUGCCAGGACCUCUACACCUGCUUUGGGCCUUCAUCUCUUGGCCUUAUCAAAGACUUCGCUCCUUUAGUUGGUCACCUUUCCCUGAAUCAUUAGCCUUUCUCUGUUUUCCCCUAUACACAAUCAUGUAUGGUAGCAUCCGCCUUUUAAAAAUCUUACCUGACCCACACUCAUUUCUCUACUUCUUGCUCCAUUUCUUUCUUCACCUCUACUCUUUACUUCCCUGAAACUCUUUCAAGGUCAUCAAAACCUUUGGAUGUUGCCAAACCCAGUUAGCUACUUCUCUCUUUUUUUCUUACUUACCACUUACCAGCAUUUAGCACUGUUGCUCACCCCUACUUGCUGAAACAUUCCUUUCUUUCUUCUGAGAACCUCAUUUUCCUCCUAGAACCUCGUUUUCCUCCUGGUUCUUUCUGCUUAGCUGCCUUUUCUGGCUUGAAUCUAACCAACUUCUAAAUAUUGAAGUUCCUCAUAGCUUUGCACUGAGUUCUCUUUCUUUUCUCUUUAUAUUACAUCCCCAUGGCCUUAAAAACCAUCUAUAUGCUAAUAACUCCCAAAUGUGUAUGUUGAGCUUGGAUCUCUCCUCAGUGUUUCUUUCUCAUUUAUCCAAAUUACUUACCUGACAACUCCAUGUGGGUGGUUCUCAAACAUCUCAAGCUUAAUACAUUCAAAGAUAAACUCUUGCUUUUUCCCAUGGAAACCUAUUUCUCCACAAAUCCAGUCUGUCUCUGUAAAUGACACCUCACUCUACCUGACUGCUGAAAUAAAAAACCUGAUUGAUUUUUUUCUUCUGCCCCCUCCCACAUGCAAUCCAUCCAUAAGAUGGUUGAUUUAGCAUCCAAGUACAUCUUCUAUUGCUUGUGUUACUGCAGUAACCCACUUAUGGUACCUUGCUUUCUCUCUUGCCACUCACUAAUAGAGCGGUCAGAGUCAUCUUGUUAAAACGUAAGUUGGAUCCCUUCACUUCCCUGCUAAAAUCCCUUUAUUACCCCUACAUUGCACUUAGUGAUUUAAAUCAUUACUCUUGACCUACAUAGCCAUGGGUGACCCAGCCUCUGUCUUUGUUCUUCACCCCUGCCUGUGGUCACUGCAGUCUAGUCAUCUGGUUUUUGGUUUGUGGAACAAACCAGACUUGGGUAGUUUGUCCUCUUUCCUUUGGAAUGUUCUUUUCUUCUCUCUUUCCAUGGCUGGGUUCUUUUUAUUCAAGUUUCCAUCCACAGCUCAUCUCUGAUUUACUUCCCUAAUAACUCUUUCUCUCUAGGAUACCCAGUUAUUCUUGACCAUAGCAUCAUUUCUACUUCCUUCAUAGCACUCUAUAUUUUAUAAUGAUUGAUGAGCGUACUUGCUUAUGUAUUAUCUGUGUCUUCACUAGACCUAAGUUCUAUCACCACAUGCCUGCUGCUGAACACUUAUCAAGCAUUUAAUUUGUAAUUGUUGAAUGAAUAACUUAAUCUGUCAAUCUCCACAACAAAUGAAAUAUUCAAGGAUUGUGGGAAAUAACAAGAAAAGAUGGUCUGUUUCUUCAAGUAGCUCGCAAAUAUGUGUAACAAUGACUAGCCAAGAGCUUUCACAUGAAUUUGUUCUGCCCUCAACAAAAAUAGAAUCAUCUUCUGGGUAGUUCCUACACAAAUGUCUUCAUUUCAUAAAAAUUGAGUCAUACACUUUAAGUUGUGUACUUUUCUGUAAUAUGGUUGUACCUUUUAAUUAAAAUUUAUAUACAAAAGAAAAAAAAGGGAAAGGGGGAAAAUGGCAAAAAUUACUUGCCCAAUUUUCUACAGUGAAGCCUUAUUUUUUAUAAUCAGGAGGACUACUACUGAUUUUUUAAGAAAAAAAGAAAUUGUCUCUGAAAAACUGUAUGUUUAGGGGAAAAAAAAAAGCAUUGUUUGUUCUCAUUCUUCUUUUGUUCAUAAUACUGUUUUUGAGCUCUUAUUUUACAAGUUUCUAAUGCUUUAAUAAACUUCCCUAAAUUCGAUUUAGCUUGUUAUAGACUGCAAAUUGGAUAGAGUUUUCAGACAUUGGUCUGACCAAUGAUGUUUACACCUGGGAGAAUUAGUACAUAGUUUUGCAAUUUGUAUUCCCACAUGCAUAUUCUCUAUCAAAUUUUCUACUUGGACUGUUUCACCUGGCAGACCUGAAUCUUAAGAAAAUCUCACCUGCAUGUGUGUCCCACAGACUACUCUGAAGAGGGGAACAUUUCCUAAUGCUUAUUAUAAGCAUCAAAUCACUAGAUCAUUAAAGGAGAUGGUAAGAAGAGUCUUGAAAUUACAUACAUAGAAGAAUCUGUCAUCACGCUUGGGCCCAUAUGAUAUCCUCUUAGUAUAAGUCCUAGAGAUUUGCCAAGUAUGAGUGACGUAUGAGCAGAGACCAGUCAACCCAAGGCCUCCCUACUGAUAAUCUUCUACCUGCUGUUCAAGGUCUCAAGUCAACUCCAUCAUGACAUGCCAUUCCAUUUGGUUACUAGACGUGGCACUCUCGCAAUGUGAUAUGCAGGAAAGUGUUUCUGGUCUCCAGAAAACUUCUGAAACACAUAUCUUAGGCAUCUUUGUAAAAAACUUGAAUAUGGUCUUAUGUUAUUGCAUAUCUACCAGAAACUUGAAGCCUUCUGUUUAAGACCUAAUAUAUACCUAGGUAUUAAUAAAAUGGACUUUAGAAGUAGCUCUACUGGAAUGGACUGUAGCAGGUAAAGUUUUUAUCAUGUAGAGGGAGAGCCACCCAUCUGGGCCUGGGAAUUUACAUCUUCCUAGCAUAGUGUUUAACCACUGACGGGGGGGGGGGGGGGGGGAUGUUUUCUCUAGCUCCUCCUACCUCCCAUCCCCUGUCGUCUAUGCCCCCCCCCCCACGCCCCAAUCAGGACAACUCCAAGGGGUGUCUCCAGAGUUCCCUUUGGGAAUGAGCCAAAGUUCUUCUCCACAAGAGUUUACCUGAUGACACACCCUUGUUGGGCUUACUUCCCUUCCCUGUCCCAUUCCCUGACUCCCUAUUCGUUUCUUCCUUAGGGAACCCUUCCUAAUAAAUCACUUUCACGUAGAGUCUGCUUCUAGGAAAUCCAACCUAAGACAGGCUUCUUUCUACCUGGAGACUGAACUUAUUGUGAUGAUCGUUUAUAAUCCUUUGACUUUUAACUACAUAGUAUAUAUUGUUUUAGUUCUUAUUUUAUCCUUUAUAAUACCAUGAUCAUUUGAACAACCUUAACCCCACAUUAAUCUUUCUUUAUUUUCUAUUUGUAAAGAUGUUGUUGGGAACCAUUAGCUGAAAUUUUACCACCUCUGUGAAACCUCAGACAAAUGGUGAGACAAAUUUAGUCUCAUCAUCCUCUGUGCUCUUUGUCUUUUUGUUUUAUAUUAAUCCCUAUUAAAGAAAUUGUCACAUUAUAUUACUGUUAGUUCUACCUUCUCAGAUAGUCUGUUAUUUCCUCAAUGGCAGAACUCAGGUUUUAUUUCAUGUUUGCAAAUGUAUAGAAACUGGUGGUUAGUAUUAAAAGUUAAGUGAAUAAAUAUAUAAUUAUAUGAGCACAUCAGUUCAUCUAGAGAUAACAUGUUGAGGGUACUAUUGUGUAAAUUUUAUAAUAUCUGAGAAAUAACCAAUAGCAGGGCUAUCAAUCAUUUUUCUAUUUCUCAAAACAGAUUUGAUGAAAACCUCCUAUGGGUAUGGUUUGAUGGGAAAUCUCUUUAUCUCAAAGGACAAAAAUUCGCCUACCUCUUGUCAAGGAUUAUCAUUUACCUUUCCUAGUCAGCAGGAAGAUGAGGGAAGUGAGAGGACUCGGAAAUGCACCUGAGAGCUAUUUACCAAAUGCCAAUUUUAAAAUGUCAGAUCAUUUAACUUGAAAUGAUUGCCAUACGAAAUAACCCAUGAAACAGCUCUUGGUCUUUCUGAAAUUUUGAAUCAUUAUUAGCGUGGUUCAUAAGGAAAUUUGCACCUGAGCUCAUUAAUGCUGAAGCUCAAAUAGCUUUCAAAUUAAAGUAUCUUUUAGCUUACAUAGGGACAGCCAUGCUUCCAAAAGAAAUUCAUAAUUAUAAAAAUCUGUCUCCACGGAUUGUAUCAGAAUCAUCGAACUAGUAUUUGCAGAAGAAAUGAAGCAUUAUUUGAAUGUCACUGGUUUCUAGAGGUAGAAAUGGGAUUAUAUGUUUAACUUGGGGAAUUCAUGUUCCUGGGUCCAGGUUUAAGACUGAUCUUUGUGUUUGACAUUGAUGUAUAAUUUCCUCUUGGGGAAUAUAGGCAGAGACCUAAAACAUGCAUUUGUAUUUUUUUGAAUGUUAAAAAACCCAUCAGUCAGAGAGUUAGUAGGGCUGCCUUCCAGUCAUAGGAGGGAGGGUGAUGAUGUUUCAAUCCAUGUCACCUUCAUGUCGUUGGAGACAAGCCUAAUGAGGAAUGGUGGGAGAGCCUGGGUGUGGGGUUCAAGACUAGUUUUGGGUUGGUUAGCAUGGUUUUGCAUUAACUGUGACUUUGGGGAUGCCACUUAAUUUUUCUGGGCUUCAUUUAUCCCUUCUAUUAAGUGGGAAAAAAAUAACUCCUGCAUACUUCAAUCAGAGGAUUUUUGUAAAUAUCCAAUUUGGUCAUAGUUGUGAAAGUCCUUUGAAAUAAAUAGUGUAAAGAACUAUAGGGAUCUAAAAUAUUAUUUUCAUCUUUGAUAAAAUUUGGCUGUAAUAUGAGAAAAGUCUUAGUAAAGUCUGCAAUGCCCUCAUUAAAUGCUGCCAGCAUAACUAAUUUCUUAUACAACAUAUAGGUUAUAAACAUGGGUUUAUCAUAGCUUUGUUGUAAUUUAUUUUUCUUUUGGUUUGUGCUUGUUCUUUGAGGAAGAUGGAAAAAAAAUUCUGUAAUGAUGUGUAUGAGAAACAUAAUAGGCAAGACUCAUUAAGCCAAAAAGUUUCUGAUUGAACUCUAGCAUCUGGGAAAUUCAGCAUCUGCUAUCAGUUGAAUGUUUUGAUUGGCAUAUGUUUGGCAUUUGUCAUAUUGAGACACUCAAAGCACUGAGCUGUAAUGGAAUAGCAAGCCCCUCGGUAGAAACAAAUGGAAACUGUUUUAUCAUUAACCCAAUGAAAUAAACUCUGAUAAAAACUAUGAAUAAUGCAAACAGAGGCAAGUGAGAAAAAAGUCAGGAUCAAGGGGAAAGUGAUAUUUUCCUAAUGAGUCUCUUGGUUGGUGGUUUUUUUUGUUUUUGUUUUUAUCUGACACUUACAUUCACUGUAUUUCAGUGAGGCACAUAUUUUGCUUCUGUUCAAUGAAAGGGGACAUCAAUUUAAUAUAGGAAAUAGUGUAUUUUAAAUGGCUGUAUUUCUUUGGCCUAAUUAUGGGAUCAAAUAUGCAUAUACUUUUGCAUGGUAAUUGGUAUCAUCUUAGAUUUAACUUUUAAAUUUUUUUUAAAAAUUUAGAUAACUGAGAAUAACUGUUGUUACUUGUGUGCUAUGGAAGAUACUUCUGAUGAAUGGACGAUAUAGGAACCCAGAUUCUAUUUAAACUUCCCACCUUUAAUAAGGACCCUGAACUAACUUAUCUACGUUCAUCCUAAAUUUUUCAAUCUUCCAGCAUGGUAUUCAUUUGCCAUUGUUUGCCCGCAUCUAUUGUUCUCCCAAUUGCCAAUUCUGAGGAGAAAAUUUCAGACUCUUUUUCUCUAUUUUUUCCUCUGGUAGGUUAUACUUAUCAAACAUGUUUUAAAAGUUGAAGAGAAAAAUGAUAAAAUCUGUGAUUAAUCCAAAGUUAAUUAUUUUAGUGUCAUCUGACAUUAAUUACAUUCCCUAUACAUUAGAGUAAUAGAUGUAAUCCCAUAAGUUUUUAAAAAAAAUUAUCUGUAUUAGAAUGACGUACAUGUAAUUAUAACCUGAAAUGUUUUCCUCACAUAUAAGAAAAAAGUUAAUAUGAUUCCUACAUUAAGCACAUUUAAAAUCCAAGUAACGGAUGGGAAAAUGGGCAAAAACCCUGGCCACGCUGGUAAGAGACUUAUUUGAGCCCCUUAAAUCCCUGUCUCUCUCUUUGGUUUACCUUUUUAGGGAAAUGAAGCAAAUUCUUAUUCUGGCAGUCCACAUAAAUUGAAACCAAUAUUUUUUCUAGACAACUUGAGCCUGGCAUUGGAACACUAGGACAAUCUAGAUUUUAAACUGAAUUUGAGGUAGCACAGGAGAGAACAUUUUUUGGAUACAUUGAAAGUU